UACAGUCAAAUCAUCCUGACCGCACCAAUUCCCGUUCGGUCAUCGAAGUUAAUUAGCGUCGUGUCUUGUCAGUACUUAGAUGGGUGACCACUUGGGAACACCCGGUACU